UACAGAGGAGCCAAGCGUUGUCCGGAUUGACUGGGCGUAAAGCGCACGCAGGCGGCCGCGCGCGUGGGGUGUGAAAUCUGGCCGCUUAACGGCCAGGCGCCAUCCCAUACGGCGCGGCUGGAGCCAUGCAGAGGGCGGUGGAAUUGCCGGUGUAGUGGUGAAAUGCGUAGAGAUCGGCAGGGAACACCCAGGGGGGAAACCAGCCGCCUGG
rnacentral:rRNA from 1 species